GACGAACGCUGGCGGCGUGCUUAACACAUGCAAGUCGAACGGUGAAGGUGGAGCUUGCUCCGCCGGAUCAGUGGCGAACGGGUGAGUAACACGUGGGCAACCUGCCCCUCACUUCGGGAUAACCAUUCGAAAGAGUGGCUAAUACCGGAUACGACCACUUUGGGCAUCCAACGGUGGUGGAAAGGAUUCUGGUCUGGGAUGGGCCCGGGGCCUAUCAGCUUGUUGGUGGGGUAAUGGCCUACCAAGGCGACGACGGGUAGCCGGCCUGAGAGGGCGACCGGCCACACUGGGACUGAGACGCGGCCCAGACUCCUACGGGAGGCAGCAGUGGGGAAUAUUGCGCAAUGGGCGAAAGCCUGACGCAGCGACGCCGCGUGAGGGACGAAGGUCUUCGGAUUGUAAACCUCUUUCAGCAGGGACGAAGCGAAAGUGACUGUACCUGCAGAAGAAGCACCGGCUAACUACGUGCCAGCCGCCGCGGUAA
rnacentral:rRNA from 1 species